rnacentral:rRNA from 1 species
UACAGAGGUCUCAAGCGUUGUCCGGAAUCAUUGGGCGUAAAGCGCGUGUAGGCGGUCCGGUCAGUCGGUUGUGAAAGUCAAGGGCUCAACCCUUGAAUGCCGGCCGAUACUGCCGGGCUAGAGUCCGGAAGAGGUGAGUGGAAUUCCUGGUGUAGCGGUGAAAUGCGCAGAUAUCAGGAGGAACACCGAUGGCGAAGGCAGCUCACUGGGACGGUACUGACGAUGAGACGCGAAAGCGUGGGGAGCAAACAGG